rfam:Chlamydomonas reinhardtii strain CC-503 cw92 mt+ CHLREscaffold_8 genomic scaffold, whole genome shotgun sequence.
GCCGUGGACGAUGAUACACACUUGAUGCAUUUCCAUAUUGGGUUAAAGCCCGUGCGGAAAACAUUUGGAGACCUGAACUGACACGCU